AGCAGCCGCGGUAAUUCCAGCUCCAAUAGCGUAUAUUAAAGUUGUUGCAGUUAAAAGCUCGUAGUUGAAUUUCGGGAUUGACGUAAUGGUCGUGCCUUAAGGGGUAUGAACUGUUACUGUUGAUUUCUCACCUUCUGGAGAAUCUUGAUGUCCUUAAUUGGGUGUCUUGUGGAUCCAGGACCUUUACCUUGAAAAAUUGAGUGUUUAAAGCAGGCAUUUUGCUCGAAUACAUUAGCAUGGAGUAAUAGAAUAGGACGGCAUGGUUCUAUUUUGUUGGUUUCUAGGAUCACCGUAAUGAUUAAUAGGGAUAGUUGGGGGCAUUAGUAUUCAAUUGUCAGAGGUGAAAUUCUUGGAUUUAUUGAAGACUAACUACUGACGAAAGCAAUUUGCCAAGGAUGUUUUCAUUAAUCAAGAACGAAAGUUAGGGAUACGAAGACGAUCAGAUACCGUCGUAGUCUUAACCAUAAACUAUAGCCGACUAGGAAUCAGACGAUAGUUAAUUUUUAAUGUACUUCGUUUA
rnacentral:misc_RNA from 1 species